UGCAAGUCGAGCGGGGAGAUGUAGCUUGCUACAUUUCCUAGCGGCGGACGGGUGAGUAAUGCUUAGGAAUCUGCCUAUUAGUGGGGGACAACAUUCCGAAAGGAAUGCUAAUACCGCAUACGUCCUACGGGAGAAAGCAGGGGAUCUUCGGACCUUGCGCUAAUAGAUGAGCCUAAGUCAGAUUAGCUAGUUGGUGGGGUAAAGGCCUACCAAGGCGACGAUCUGUAGCGGGUCUGAGAGGAUGAUCCGCCACACUGGGACUGAGACACGGCCCAGACUCCUACGGGAGGCAGCAGUGGGGAAUUUUGGACAAUGGGCGAAAGCCUGAUCCAGCAAUGCCGCGUGCAGGAUGAAGGCCUUCGGGUUGUAAACUGCUUUUGUACGGAACGAAAAAGCUCCUUCUAAUACAGGGGGCCCAUGACGGUACCGUAAGAAUAAGCACCGGCUAACUACGUGCCAGCAGCCGCGGUAGUACGUAGGGUGCGAGCGUUAAUCGGAAUUACUGGGCGUAAAGCGUGCGCAGGCGGUUAUGUAAGACAGAUGUGAAAUCCCCGGGCUCAACCUGGGAACUGCAUUUGUGACUGCAUGGCUAGAGUACGGUAGAGGGGGAUGGAAUUCCGCGUGUAGCAGUGAAAUGCGUAGAUAUGCGGAGGAACACCGAUGGCGAAAGCAAUCC
rnacentral:rRNA from 1 species